rnacentral:rRNA from 1 species
AUUGAACGCUGGCGGCAGGCCUAACACAUGCAAGUCGAGCGGAUGAAGGGAGCUUGCUCCUGGAUUCAGCGGCGGACGGGUGAGUAAUGCCUAGGAAUCUGCCUGGUAGUGGGGGAUAACGUCCGGAAACGGGCGCUAAUACCGCAUACGUCCUGAGGGAGAAAGUGGGGGAUCUUCGGACCUCACGCUAUCAGAUGAGCCUAGGUCGGAUUAGCUAGUUGGUGGGGUAAAGGCCUACCAAGGCGACGAUCCGUAACUGGUCUGAGAGGAUGAUCAGUCACACUGAACUGAGACACGGUCCAGACUCCUACGGGAGGCAGCAGUGGGGAAUAUUGGACAAUGGGCGAAAGCCUGAUCCAGCCAUGCCGCGUGUGUGAAGAAGGUCUUCGGAUUGUAAAGCACUUUAAGUUGGGAGGAAGGGCAGUAAGUUAAUACCUUGCUGUUUUGACGUUACCAACAGAAUAAGCACCGGCUAACUUCGUG